rnacentral:rRNA from 1 species
AAAUGAAUAGACGGGGGCCCGCACAAGCGGAGGAACAUGUGGUUUAAUUCGAUGAUACGCGAGGAACCUUACCCGGGCUUGAAAGUUAGUGACGGAUCUGGAAACAGGUCUUCCCUUCGGGGCACGAAACUAGGUGCUGCAUGGUUGUCGUCAGCUCGUGCCGUGAGGUGUCGGGUUAAGUCCCAUAACGAGCGCAACCCCUACCGUUAGUUGCCAUCAGGUCAAGCUGGGCACUCUGGCGGGACUGCCGGUGUAAGCCGAGAGGAAGGUGGGGAUGACGUCAAAUCAGCACGGCCCUUACGUCCGGGGCGACACACGUGUUACAAUGGUAGGUACAGAGGGCAGCUACCCUGCGAAGGGAUGCGAAUCUCGAAAGCCUAUCUCAGUUCGGAUUGGAGGCUGAAACUCGCCUCCAUGAAGUUGGAUUCGCUAGUAAUCGCGCAUCAGCCAUGGCGCGGUGAAUACGUUCCCGGGCCUUGUACACACCGCCCGU